AUUGAACGCUGGCGGCAGGCCUAACACAUGCAAGUCGAGCGGAGCGGCGGACGGGUGAGUAAUGCCUGGUAAUCUGCCUGGUCGUGGGGGAUAACGUCCGGAAACGGGCGCUAAUACCGCAUACUCUCAGCUGAUCCUCGGUCGGAUUAGCUAGUUGGAGGGGUAAAGGCCUACCAAGGCGACGACCCGUAACUGGUCUGAGAGGAUUAUCAGUCACACUGGAAAUGAGACACGGUCCAGACACCGACGGGAGGUAGCAGUGGGGAAUAUUGGAGAAUGGGCGAAAGCCUGACACAGCCAUGCCGCGUGUGUGAAGAAGGUCGUCGGAUUGUAAAACACUUUAAGUUGGGAGGCGUUACCAUCAGAAUAAGCACCGGCUAACUUCGUGCCAGCAGCCGCGGUAAUUC
rnacentral:rRNA from 1 species